rnacentral:rRNA from 1 species
AUUGAACGCUGGCGGCAUGCCUUACACAUGCAAGUCGAACGGUAACGGGCCUUCGGGUGCCGACGAGUGGCGAACGGGUGAGUAAUGUAUCGGAACGCACCUUUCAGGGGGGGAUAACGUAGCGAAAGUUACGCUAAUACCGCAUAUUCUGUGAGCAGGAAAGCAGGGGAUCGCAAGACCUUGCGCUGAUUGAGCGGCCGAUAUCAGAUUAGCUAGUUGGUGAGGUAAAAGCUCACCAAGGCGACGAUCUGUAGCGGGUCUGAGAGGAUGAUCCGCCACACUGGAACUGAGACACGGUCCAGACUCCUACGGGAGGCAGCAGUGGGGAAUUUUGGACAAUGGGGGCAACCCUGAUCCAGCCAUGCCGCGUGAGUGAAGAAGGCCUUCGGGUUGUAAAGCUCUUUCGGCCGGGAAGAAAUCGUAUCAGCUAAUACCUGGUGCGGAUGACGGUACCGGCAUAAGAAGCACCGGCUAACUACGUGCCAGCAGCCGCCGUAACAC